UCUGUCUUGUGCAAGUUUCUCUCUGUUUGUGUUUUAGGUUGAAGAUGGCGCAGAGAGAUAAGCCUUACAGUUGCUGAUCUAGAAGCAUUAGGCAAGAGUGUCUGAGAACGAUGGUGUGAUCUGCAACACUGUCUUUUUUUAUUACUGAUUUAUUACUGACUAUCUAUUUCUUUAUUUGUUGUUAUGCAACAAGAGAGAACUCCCAUUAAUGGGAAUCAAAAGGAAACCCUGAAAUCAUUUUUUAAGGCUGGAAUGACAUGAGUUGUUUCAGAAUUAAUACCAAGAGCUGCAUCAGCUACUGGUUUGGACACCAGUGUCGUAGAAAUAAGAACUGGAUUGGUAAUUACAAAAGAUCACAAAUGACCAAUGCUUCGUCUGAGCCCCGGCCAUCAAAGGCCAAAGUUCACAUUAGAGAGCUGUCGCCUUACAAUCUUUUUUGUUGGGACAUAUUCAAAAACAAAGGCACAAUGAAUGAUAUUAAGGGCAGGUGCGCCACAUUGGGGGAAGAUGCAAAGCAAAAAUACAUUCAAGAGGCAGAAAUACAUUCAAGAGGCAGCAGCACUGAGGGCACAUGGGCAGGCACAGGACCUAAACCCUGAGAUGGAGGCAAUUUGUGCUGUGUCUGCCGCAUCCAUUUUUAUGAUAAGAAGAAGAAUGCAAGAAAGAAGUGGCAUUCAUGGUCUCAGUGCACAGUGUGCCAAUCAUGGUCACACACAGCAUGUGGCUUUAAAAAGAACAUGUGCCUUCACUGCCAGUGUCAAGACACCAUGCUAACACCCUGAAGAUGUAUCUUGUUACUUGUUUGAGUUGUUUUUACUGUGUUGACGGCCCCCAACCCAUCCAUACAAACACACACACACAAUACAUACAUAUGCUGCAAAUUUAUUGUAAUGACCACACUUCACACGUAAGAAGAAAAUUGUGAUCUUUUUGUUAUUUUCAUUCACCCCAUUUUUAUUUAUUAUUGUUGUUUGUUGGCACCAUCAAUGUGUUCUCCUUUAUACAUGACUUAUGUGGGGAACAAUAAAGUUAU